CAGUAGCCGCGGUAAUACGGAGGGUGCAAGCGUUAAUCGGAAUUACUGGGCGUAAAGCGUGCGUAGGCGGUUCGUUAAGUCUGUUGUGAAAGCCCCGGGCUCAACCUGGGAAUGGCAAUGGAUACUGGCGAGCUAGAGUGUGUCAGAGGAUGGUGGAAUUCCCGGUGUAGCGGUGAAAUGCGUAGAGAUCGGGAGGAACAUCAGUGGCGAAGGCGGCCAUCUGGGACAACACUGACGCUGAGGCACGAAAGCGUGGGGAGCAAACAGGAUUAGAGACCCCUGUAGUCCCUGUCUCUUAUAC
rnacentral:rRNA from 1 species